rnacentral:vault_RNA from 1 species
GGGCUGGCUUUAGCUCAGCGGUUACUUCGACUUCGCAUCGUUCGUUACCGACCAUUAAGGGUUGUGUUCGAACACCACUACAAUCAAUCGCUUACAUUAACCUGUGAGUGGUUGGUUCGAGGCCCGCGGGCGCUCUCCAGCCCUUUU